rnacentral:lncRNA from 1 species
GCCGUCGUAAGGAUUGGACCAAAAUGCAGCGGACAGACAGCAAAGAAGAGGUGUGCCAGGUGGAACAGUGGCACAAGGAUAAGAUCAAGUCCAUUGGUCAAACUAUGGAUGAGGCUUAUGAGACUUUUGAAUGAUGCUUCUCAGAAGGAGUUCGACAGUCUGAAGAAUCAUGCGAGAAAUUAAUGAACAAAGUGAUAGCACCAGGGCAUCAGAGCAUGCAGGAAAAGAUUCUCUGGAAAGGAUGAAAGAUGAGCUACAUCAUCACAUGAAGAAUAACAACAUUUUCCGGAAGGCCAUGGAAGAUAUGCUGGGUGGUUUAAUAA